rnacentral:tRNA from 1 species
ACAUCGGUAGCACAGUGGUUAGUGCAGUUCGCCACAAACAAAAAAGACGCGGGUUCAAUUCCCGUCCGAUGUC